ACCCAGAGUCAGUGUUCUGGAGGACACACAACCCACUGAGCCAAACCCUGAGCCACAGAAGACUAGCGCUGUCCUGAGAUGUGGGGUUACUUGGAAACAGGCCAGAAAGGAGCAGCCUACUGAAAUUGGACCAAUCAGAGCAGCGGACACAAGAUAAACAAGUUCAACAAGGACAGCUGAUGGCACCAAUUAGAGCUGAGAUUAAAAAGUUGCUCUUCAUCAACGAUGUGAAUAACAGCUCAUGUUGAACAACAAGUGCAGUAUUCGGAUCCACUGAAGACCAGCCGAUAUCGUCUACCAGAACACGCUGCUUUUGUCUUCCACGGGCCGUGCCGACCUGCUGGUCUGUGAAGUGGAGCCAGCCGCCUCUCACACCAUGUUUCAGAGGCUGGCAUGACAGUCUCUUUGGGCUCAGUGUUCUCUGCUGCACGCUCCGCUGGCUGCGGCGCAGCUGGCCUUUUAUUCUGCACUCAUUGACACGACAUGUUUUGUAGAUUAAGAAACACCCCCCAUAUUAAACGAUUAUCAUUCCAUACAAUGUUAUAAGGGGCUGAGGUCAAUGCAGGGGUCCUUAAACCACAUCAAGUCUGGUGAAUGAGCCUCACAGCUGGACAGAAGGACAGCAUGGGCGAGGUGACCGUCGUAACAGAAAUAACAUGAGCGGGAAUUUCCUCAUGACUCAUCAAUCACUGAACACACAGCGGGGGGGGCAGGAGAGGCUGGGGUCGACUGAGAGAACCUGAACCUGUUGGGAAGGACCGUAAUACAGGUACCAGCACAGGACAACAUUCAGUAGGAAUAUCAGUACUUCUUUCUAAACCCAGAACGUGAAAGAGCCAUGGAGCGACUCUGAGAGCCCCUACGCUGGAGGGAGGAGGCCGGAGACAAAGGGAAAACAGAUGAGGUCAACAGAGCAAAGGAAAAAAAGCUUGAUCAGGACAGAGUGGAAAUAGAAAAAACAUCUGGUGAGGUUCUGAGAACGAAACAUAACAACACGGUCAGCCAGGGUCUACCUCCACACCAGUUUCAUCACAUCCUCUCCCUACAGGAAGUGACGGAUCACUUCCCCAGCGAUGGUCGUUGGGUUGAGUAGCCUAAGGGCGCGGAUGUACGUCUGAUGACUAAUGGGAAAACCCACUGGGUGCUUUUAUUAAGAAUUCCACUUUUCAUUAUGUGGCGUUGCAUUGUGUGGAGUUGCAUGUGGCUCAGAAGGGAAGAACGGUUAGGCUGGUAACUGGAAGGUUGCUCCUCCUAGCUGAGUGCCGGGGUGUCCCUGAGCAAGAAACCUCACCUAACUGCUUGAUGAGCUGGCUGUUGCCCUGCGUGCUUGACACCACCUUCGAUACCUCAGCAACAGGAACCAAACUCAAACAGCAAACCAGAGUGCGUUGGGUGAGCAGCGCACGGUCCUGACUCACCAGCUUGUAAUCUUUGUGAAGCUUGUUGUACUGGAACAUGUUCAGCAGAACCGUCGACGCCGCCUUGGCCGCCUUCAGUCCACCGGUGCUGAGGACAGAACCAACACACUCAGCCCAGACGGGACGGAACACACACAGAACCAACACACUCAGCCCAGACGGGACGGAACAGACAACCGAACACAGAACUACAGGGAGACUGAACUGGGUUUAAUUGGGCCGUGUGCUACACUCAUUUUAUCCCCCAGGGAAUUGUAAACUAAGUUGUGUUUUCCUGAGCUGUGGAAUUUGCUCUUUUUCUUGAGCUCUUUCCUGUGGAGUGGUGGAGGGGUCUCUAAAGAGCCUCUUGGGAUUGGGUGAUAAAACUACAAAAAUAACAACACUCCGGUUUAUUACAACUAAUCCUUUAUAAAUUAAAGGACAAUUCCGGUGUAAAAUGGAUCUGGGAUAUGUUUAAUAUGAUAACGAGUUGGAAUGUUCGUUUGGGUGCAGAAAAAGCGAGUAUAGACGCAUUCUUAUCCGAUUCCACUAAAGCGCUAUAAACUUGGAACGAUGGGAAAAUGUGUUAUGGUAAAAACUAGAUCGCUAGUUUAAACCACUUAAAAGGCUAGAAGUAGCCAGACACUUCUUUGGUAGUAUAAUAAGGGUCUUAACAUAUAAAACGAGGCAUUGAUAACUUUGUAAAUGUACAGAUUGUUUAUUAAAAAGGACAUUUUAUACACACAAUACCAUCAGUAGUUUGCCGACGGGUGUGAACUACCCAGUAGUUCACACCCGUCGGCGCCAUCUUGUUUUUAAGACUCGAUAAGUAGAUUGGCGAACACAGAGCUUGCGUGUUGCUGACGGGUGUCACAAUCUCUGUGUUCGUCAAUCUCUGUGAUAUUUUCAUAGUAAGAUACAUCUUACUAUGAAACUACUUCUUCGAGUUUAACUCCCUCUGCAUCAGCAAUCGGCUAGUCGGCGAACAUCAGGGUGAGUAGAAAGAGACAUUUGUGGAACUUUUGUUUACAGACCCGCCGUGGUUUAAUUAGCAGCUUGGAAACAUAGUCUGUGAUAUCAUCGGAGUAAUAGUUUAUACACUUUAUGGCCUGAGUGCUAGCUUUUGGAGAUAGACAUGACAGGGGCUAUCGGAGGGUUAGCCAGUUUUAAGGCUGCCAGCCAUGUAUUAAGGGCUGGUUUCCUAUUCAAAGGUAGCCUGUGGAAAUGUAUGAUUACCUCAGCUGCCUUGGCCCUAUAUAAUUCAAUACUGAAGCCAGGGGCAAUGCAGUAUGAUCCUCCUGUAUACCUGGUUGUUUACUAUUUCAGCGAGCCUCAGAGUCUGACUCAUUACCUGCUAUGGCUGCUAGAGCCACAGAGUAGGAGUGGGUUACCAUGCCAGUGACGUAGCUGAUUGUUGAAAUCCAACAUGGCGGCGCCCAGUAACAUAAACAACACUUUCACCGUACAAAUUAAUCCCUUUUUAGCAAGUUCAGCCAUUUGUAAUUAUUGUAGGCCUACCAAUGAGAAGGCAGACAAUACAUCUGUUAUAUCAACUAAACUUCAAGUUUCAGUUCAGUUCAUCUUUAAGAAUGCGACUAUACACGCUUUUUUGCUCCCAAAUGAACAUUCCAACUCGUUAUCAUAUUAAACAUAUCCCAGAUCCAUUUACACCGGAAUUGUCCUUUAACUACCCCAAAAUGACAGGCGGGCAAAAAACCACACAAACUGUCUCAAACCAGUACCGAGUGGGCCUGGUGGUCUCUCAACACGGAAAUCCAGAAAAUGGUGAAGAAUUGUGCUUCAUUAAUAUAAAUGAAAAUAAACACUAAAACAACUACCCUACUGGUGAUAUCACAGACACGACAGGAACACACGACUUUGGGUGUAGACUAGCGUGAGUGGUGUGAAGAACCACGCGUUUCUCGGUUUGUAUUCUUGUCAACUGUGCUUGUCUUGGUUGUUCAGGGAGGUUGUAUCGCAUUACCUAAUGACUUCAUCAGCUCGUUGCAUAAUGGGUCCGCUGCAGUCCAGGUGUCUCCUACCUGUUAAUUAGCUCGUUACCUAGCGACCAUGGGUCCCCUAUGGUCUCCUACCUGUUAA
ensembl:lncRNA